rnacentral:rRNA from 1 species
AUUGAACGCUGGCGGCAUGCCUUACACAUGCAAGUCGAACGGCAGCACGGGGCAACCUGGUGGCGAGUGGCGAACGGGUGAGUAAUGCAUCGGAACGUACCUUUUAGAGGGGGAUAACGUAGCGAAGGUUACGCUAAUAACGCAUAUUCUGUGAGCAGGAAAGCAGGGGAUCGCAAGACCUUGCGCUGAUUCAGCGGCCGAAGUCAGAUUAGCUAGUUGGUGAGGUAAAGGCUCACCAAGGCGACGAUGUGUAGGGGGUCUGAGAGGAUGAUCCGCCACACUGGAACUGAGGCACGGUCCAGACUCCUACGGGAGGCAGCAGUGGGGAAUUUUGGACAAUGGGGGCAACCCUGAUCCAGCCAUGCCGCGUGAGUGAAGAAGGCCUUCGGGUUGUAAAGCUCUUUCGGCCGGGAAGAGAUCGCACGGGCUAAUACCCUGUGUGGAUGACGGUACCGGAAUAAGAAGCACCGGCUAACUACGUGCCAGCAGCCGCCGUAAUAC